GGAGAAGUGAGCUUUAGCAGGGACAAUGACUGGGGAACUGGGCUGUUUGGUUUGGCACUCAUCUCACCCCAUGAUCUCACCAUCCCAGCUCAAGAACCUGUGAGAAGGGUGGCCUGCCUGAGGGGAAAUGGGGAUAAGGCAGCUGGCUUUGAUUUCCCUAGCCCCAUCUGAUCAUCGCUGCUGGGCUAUAGGCAGAGCAGGUAGACUUAAACUCAUAUAUAGUCCAAGUGAUGUGUUGGGGCUGAGAUUGAUGGACAACAUACAUAUGUGAAAUUCAAGGUACUUGCUCGGGUCUUCAUCCAUGAAGGGAUAAAGGAAACAUUUCCCCCAGUGUAGAAGCAAGGCCCAACUUUUUUAGGGAGGUGGCAGACGGCUGUGUACGGGGGGAAAGAAUAUGUGUUUUGCUACAAGAAGAUGGUUCUAUCUACAUUUGGGCUGCAUGAUGCUGAUCAAUCUGGUUAAUGCUGACUUUGAGUUUCAAAAAGGAGUGCUUGCCAGCAUCAGCCCAGGAAUCACCAAAGACAUUGAUCUCCAGUGCUGGAAAGCUUGCUCUUUGACAUUGAUAGAUCUCAAGGAACUCAAGAUAGAGCACAAUGUGGAUGCUUUUUGGAAUUUCAUGUUGUUCUUGCAAAAAUCUCAGCGGCCUGGACAUUAUAAUGUCUUCUUAAACAUAGCUCAGGAUUUCUGGGACAUGUAUGUAGACUGCUUGCUUUCAAGAUCUCAUGGAAUGGGCAGAAGACAGGUGAUGCCCCCCAAAUAUAAUUUUCCACAGAAAAUAACAGGAGGACUAGAUUUUACAAAAUGAGAGUAUUACAUUUAAGAGAAAACAUGUAAAAUACCUCAAGCAAGAUGACAGCGACCUGAAAACUUGUAUUUAUGAGGUCAAAUAUUUCUUGUCAUAGUUAUACAAAUUAUUUAAUACUGAUAAACGUUGUUUUUUGUUGUAAUUGCUUUAUUGCUAUUGAAUUAUUCCAAUAUUUUCAGAUAAUUUCUCAAUUUUUUACUUAGAAGGUGUCUUUUUAAAGUGUCUUUGUUUUAAAGAAAACAUCAGUUAAAAGGCAAAUGUGAUAUAUUUUUUAGAUACAAUAGUCAAUGGAAUAAAAUUGUAACCAAUUUUAUAAGGUAUCUUAUAUAUUAAUAUUGACUAUUAAACUGUGCCAAAACUAAUGGCAGUAUUAUCCUAAAAAGUAAUAUUUAAUGUAGUAUAUUUUGUGGUUUCUGAAAUGUACAUUUCAUUACCAAGCCAUCUUCUAUAUUAAAGUAUUUUUCUAUGCAUUAAGGACUAAAACCUUUUUAUGUUCUCAUUUUUAUUGUCUUUGUUUUGAAAAAGGAACAAUAAACAAAGACAGAAACUUCAUUUCAGUAAAGUACAAUUUGAUAGAAUUUUUGUGUUAGCUGAGUUAUUUUUUAUAUUGCCUAUUUAUAUCUCACAUCUUAUUUCAAAAAGGAUGUGAAGCUUUAAAGAAAUAUACCGAAGAAAAGGAAAACAUGAAGUAGUGGAGGAAAUUGGAACAUUGGGACAUGAAGACAGGGAAGUAAUACAAUGGAGUUACGGUUUAGAUUAAUACUUUUUGAAUGCAUGUCGUAAAAGCCUAUACCUUUGAUAAAGGGUGCCUAUAAAUUUGGUCUGUUUCCCACUUCUCCUAGUGAAGAGGGACACAUGAACAGUUUCAAGAUUCACAUGCUUAUAAGAAAAACCAAACCAUAUGUUCAACAGAGGUCCAGCCUUUUCCAGGACAAAGAAUCAAUGAAAAUCUCACCCAUAGGUUUUCACAGUGGCUACCAUGGUUUACAACACUGGUUUCAAGUAUCCUUACAAUGACAGAUUCUCUCCUUUACAGUCUGAUUCCAGUACACUCAAACUCAAAUAUAAAAAGUUUUAAAAUCGGCUAAAAUAAUACUGAACAAGUAACGAACUGCCUGAUGGUUUGACUUGAUCCAAGAAUAAGCUGAAUUAAAGGAGGGACGUUCUUUGCAUUAUUGACCACUUUCAAAUUCUGAUGAUGUAUAGACCAUUUAUUAGGGGUUUUAUAUAUAAACACUCUUAAAAUUACAUUUUGCAUGUAAUUUCAGGGGGCUGCAUAAACCCCAGGUUAGGAAUUUUCAAUAUUAAAGGACCUCAUAGCGUUCGGCAAUAUUAUUUCAUAUAACCAAUUUUGCAUGAGUAGCAGAUAAUAUAAGAUUGUAGGGCUAAUAAUUUCCUAGAUUGAAAACUUCUUAUCUUGCCAAUUAAGGGUGGAUCCCUAAGCUCAGAAAAUCAACUGGUUGGAGGGUAGGGCUAAUUAAUGUUCUCAUAAAAAUGACCAGACAGCGUGUAAACAUGAGUGAUUUUAUGUCCAUUAAGCUUUUGAUUUGUGGAAUUUAUAUGACAAAUAAUUAGUCUGAUAUGAGUUUUUAAAUUUCAACAUAUUUUCAUAUUGACACUUUAUUACUGUUUAGCUCUAAUCGAAAAGUGAUGAUUCAUUUGAGAGGAGUCACAUUUAUGUGACAGGAGUAAAAAGUUGAGUUAAUCUUGCCAAGAACUUUCCUGUCCUUUCUCAUCUCCAUAUUGAACAUCUGUGUUCUUUAUCAUUAAACUGCUUUUGGUCUAAAAAAAAAAAAAUGACCUGACAGCUAUCCACCUAGAAUUCAUUUCCUGCAGAGGAGCCGAAGUGGUACCUAGAGGCAGUAUUACAGUUUUCCUCAAAAAAAACAGUUCUCUUUUACAGUCUGUGGGCAAAUGAUUGAAGCUCAAAAGUUCAAUGCUGUAAAGUGAGACCAUGUACUUUUAGUCUAAAAAAUUGUUCAACCAGUUGUCCUCAAUCACUCAUAGUUGUCAUGACAAUUUUAUUGCAGCGAUGAUAAACAUUUUAGCUUAAAUCAAUAAAAUUAGUCUUCCAGUUAAUGGCAAAAUGGUUUUCUAGUUCUUUUAAUUGAAUUUACAUACUACAUUGGGUUAAAAAUAAGAACAUUUGCUAAACUGGGCAAUCUGGUUUUAAAACAACUCAUCUUAAGCUUUUUGAUGAUGAUUACAUACCGUAAAUUCCUCCCCGUUUUUGGCACAAAUAGUGUCAUCUGCAUAUAAAAAAACUUUUUCUUUCUGUUCAUCAUUCAUUCAUUCAACAAAUAUUCAUUAAGCUUUAGGGUAUAUUAGUGAACAAUCCAGACGUAAUCUUUGACUCACAGAGUUGACACUGAAGUGGGACAAUGCA
rnacentral:lncRNA from 1 species